GCUGGGCGCAGUGGCUUACGCCUGUAAUCCCAGCACUUUGGGAGGCCGAGGUGGGUGGAUCACCUGAGGUCAGGAGUUCAAGACCAACCUGGCCAACAAGGUGAAACCCCAUCUCUA
rnacentral:SRP_RNA from 1 species